GUUGAAGAGGUGAGAAACAUCGCCCCUGCCUGGUCAACAGACAGCAUUACAACAUCAGAGAGAAGUGGUCCAAUGUUCAGGGUCGUAAGAUUCAUUAGUUCACACCUUUUUCAAAAAUGUAGCAAAUCGUUUUGCAAAUUUGGAUUUCUUAUUGGACAAGUCCGGGUACAACCCUCCCUGUUUCAGACAGUUUUCUUACAUUUGGUGCUUAAUGAAUAGGACCCAGUUGUGUUGGGAUUGGCAGGCUGUAAGAAGCUCCAGAGAGGCAAGUCUUGUUGUUAAUAUUCACAUCAACACAUAAUAAAUUAAAUUAGUGACAUAAUGUUUGAGAUGAUGUAGUUUUGCUUCUAUCAGUGGGCUGAAACGCAACAUGAUUCACUCAAACGCUUUCAGUUCCAAUUGGUCCUUCGGGUGAUUCAGGAGAAUCUGAUUCUAGAUCAGCGGAACCUUUGGAACCCACUGAAGAUUCUAGAACAGCCCGUGAAUAUUCUAGAAGAGAGAAGGAAGAGAAUCCUGGAACUCUGUUCAGGUUAGGAAUGUAAACAAACACCAUUCCAUUUCCUGUUCAAAUGGCAAUAACUUCACAGAGACAUCGCUCUGUCUUCAUAAUGGGGGUUGCGUCCCAAAUGUUACAUAUGGGCCCUGGUCAAAAGUAGUGCACUAAAUAGGGUGGGAUUUGGAACAGACUAAAGUCUUGUCAGUUAGUGAUGCAACGUGACUUUGAUACAUAUUCCAGACUCCAUUUCACUACAGUAGCAUGUCCCCUUGUAUAUGUUUUGAGGAUGUACUCGUUAUUAUAAACUGGGUGGUUUGAGCCCUGAAUGCUGAUUGGCUGAAAGUCGUGGUAUAUCAGACCGCAUACCAAAGGUAUAACAAAAAUAUAUAUUUGUACUGUUCUAAUUACAUUGGUAAUUUGUUGACAAUAGAAAUAAGGCAUCCUGGGGGGGUUUGUGGUAUAUGGCCAAUAUACCACGGCUUAAUGUCUGUAUCCAGGCACUCCUCGUUGCGUCGUGCUUAAGAACAGCCCUUAGCCGUGGUAUAUUGGCCAUAUACCACACCUCCUCUGGCCUUAUUGCUAAAGCAUAUAAUUAAAGAAUAUGUUAUGAUCAAGAUGAACAAUCAAGCAUGGAGUAAUCAACCUGCCAUUCUGACAGAAGGUAUUGGAAAACUCCAACCAGAAACCCCUCUUUUGGUACUUGUUUCAUUAGUCCACUGUUGAUAUAGUGCCAACAUGUGUUUGCAUGUCAGCAAUCAAGUUUUCAAGAUAUCGAACUUUCAAAAUACAGAACUACAGCCAGUUUGAUGCAUUUAGCAUCACACGAUGCUGAAUAUCAACUGGAGGGAGGAAGACAUCAGUAUAAUACAGACUGGAGAAUCAUGGCAGGAAUGGAACAAUAUAUUAACUACACCUACAAUAAUGUGCUGAGAACCAUGUUAGGUGGUCAAAGAUAUUGUAACCUGGGGG
ensembl:lncRNA